rnacentral:rRNA from 1 species
AGAGUUUGAUCCUGGCUCAGGAUGAACGCUGGCGGCGUGCUUAACACAUGCAAGUCGAGCGAAGCACUUUAACGGAAUUCUUCGGAAGGAAGAUAAAGUGACUGAGCGGCGGACGGGUGAGUAACGCGUGGGUAACCUGCCUCACACAGGGGGAUAACAGUUAGAAAUGGCUGCUAAUACCGCAUAAGACCACAGUACCGCAUGGUGCAGGGGUAAAAACUCCGGUGGUGUGAGAUGGACCCGCGUCUGAUUAGGUAGUUGGUGAGGUAACGGCUCACCAAGCCGACGAUCAGUAGCCGACCUGAGAGGGUGACCGGCCACAUUGGGACUGAGACACGGCCCAGACUCCUACGGGAGGCAGCAGUGGGGAAUAUUGGGCAAUGGGCGAAAGCCUGACCCAGCAACGCCGCGUGAGGGAAGAAGGUUUUCGGAUUGUAAACCUCUGUCCUAAGGGACGAAGGAAGUGACGGUACCUUAGGAGGAAGCCCCGGCUAACUACGUGCCAGCAGCCGCGGUAAUACGUAGGGGGCGAGCGUUGUCCGGAAUGACUGGGCGUAAAGGGCGUGUAGGCGGCAGUAUAAGUCCGGAGUGAAAGUCCUGCUUUCAAGGUGGGAAUUGCUUUGGAGACUGUACAGCUUGAGUGCGGAAGAGGUAAGUGGAAUUCCCAGUGUAGCGGUGAAAUGCGUAGAGAUUGGGAGGAACACCAGUGGCGAAGGCGACUUACUGGGCCGUAACUGACGCUGAGGCGCGAAAGCGUGGGGAGCGAACAGGAUUAGAUACCCUGGUAGUCCACGCGGUAAACGAUGAAU